rnacentral:rRNA from 1 species
GAUGAACGCUGGCGGCGUGCCUAAUACAUGCAAGUCGAGCGAACAGAUGAGGAGCUUGCUCCUCUGACGUUAGCGGCGGACGGGUGAGUAACACGUGGAUAACCUACCUAUAAGACUGGGAUAACCUCGGGAAACCGGAGCUAAUACCGGAUAAUAUAUUGAACCGCAUGGUUCAAUAGUGAAAGACGGUUUUGCUGUCACUUAUAGAUGGAUCCGCGCCGCAUUAGCUAGUUGGUACGGUAACGGCUUACCAAGGCAACGAUGCGUAGCCGACCUGAGAGGGUGAUCGGCCACACUGGAACUGAGACACGGUCCAGACUCCUACGGGAGGCAGCAGUAGGGAAUCUUCCGCAAUGGGCGAAAGCCUGACGGAGCAACGCCGCGUGAGUGAUGAAGGUCUUCGGAGCGUAAAACUCUGUUAUUAGGGAAGAACAAAUGUGUAAGUAACUAUGCACGUCUUGACGGUACCUAAUCAGAAAGCCACGGCUAACUACGUG